rnacentral:rRNA from 1 species
AUUGAACGCUGGCGGCAGGCCUAACACAUGCAAGUCGAGCGGAUGAGUGGAGCUUGCUCCAUGAUUCAGCGGCGGACGGGUGAGUAAUGCCUAGGACUCUGCCUGGUAGUGGGGGACAACGUCUCGAAAGGAACGCUAAUACCGCAUACGUUCUACGGGAGAAAGUGGGGGAUCUUCGGACCUCACGCUAUCAGAUGCGCCUAGGUGGGAUUAGCUAGUUGGUGAGGUAAAGGCUCACCAAGGCAACGAUCCGUAACUGGUCUGAGAGGAUGAUCAGUAACACUGGAACUGAGACACGGUCCAGACUCCUACGGGAGGCAGCAGUGGGGAAUAUUGGACAAUGGGCGAAAGCCUGAUCCAGCCAUGCCGCGUGUGUGAAGAAGGUCUUCGGAUUGUAAAGCACUUUAAGUUGGGAGGAAGGGCAGUAAGUUAAUACCUUGCUGUUUUGACGUUACCAACAGAAUAAGCACCGGCUAACUUCGUGCCAGCCGCCGCAGUAAUAC